AUUCCAGCUCCAAUAGCGUAUACUAAAGUUGUUGCAGUUAAAAAGCUCGUAGUUGAAUUUCUGGUCGUGAAAAGUGGUCCGUUCCGCAAGGAAUGUGUACUGUCUAUUCAUGUCCAUCCUCGGAGUUAGUGUGUAUUACUUUAAUCGGUCGUGCAUGCAAUACUUCGUCAUUUACUGUGAGCAAAAUAGAGUGUUCAAAGCAGGCUUAUGCCGUUGAAUAUAUUAGCAUGGAAUAAUAAGAUAUGACUUUGGUCUAUUUUGUUGGUUUGCACUCCAAAGUAAUGAUUAAUAGGGAUAGUUGGGGGUAUUCGUAUUCAAUUGUCAGAGGUGAAAUUCUUGGAUUUAUAGAAGACGAACUACUGCGAAAGCAUUUACCAAGGAUGUUUUCAUUG
rnacentral:rRNA from 1 species